UACGUAGGGUGCAAGCGUUGUCUGGAAUUAUUGGGCGUAAAGAGCUCGUAGGCGGUUUGUCGCGUCUGCUGUGAAAACCCGAGGCUCAACCUCGGGCCUGCAGUGGGUACGGGCAGACUAGAGUGCGGUAGGGGAGAUUGGAAUUCCUGGUGUAGCGGUGGAAUGCGCAGAUAUCAGGAGGAACACCAAUGGCGAAGGCAGGAUCUCUGGGCCGAAUGACGUGACGUGAGGAGCGAAAGCGUGGGGAGCGAACAGG
rnacentral:rRNA from 1 species